rnacentral:rRNA from 1 species
UACGAAGGGGGCUAGCGUUGCUCGGAAUUACUGGGCGUAAAGCGUGCGUAGGUGGUUGUUUAAGUCUGUUGUGAAAGCCCUGGGCUCAACCUGGGAACUGCAGUGGAAACUGGACGACUAGAGUGUGGUAGAGGGUAGCGGAAUUCCUGGUGUAGCAGUGAAAUGCGUAGAGAUCAGGAGGAACAUCCAUGGCGAAGGCAGCUACCUGGACCAACACUGACACUGAGGCACGAAAGCGUGGGGAGCAAACAGG